GCCCUCGUAGCUCAGGGGAUAGAGCACCGCUCUCCUAAAGCGGGUGUCGCAGGUUCGAAUCCUGCCGAGGGCACC
rnacentral:tRNA from 1 species